rnacentral:misc_RNA from 1 species
GAUGAAGAACGUAGCGAAAUGCGAUAAGUAAUGUGAAUUGCAGAAUUCAGUGAAUCAUCGAAUCUUUGAACGCACCUUGCGCCCUUUGGCCAUUCCGAAGGGCAUGCCUGUUUGAGUAUCAUGAGCACCUCAACUCUUCAUGGUUUUCCAUGAUGAGCUUGGACUUUGGGGGUCUUGCUGGCCUGUGGGUCGGCUCCUCUCAAAUGAAUCAGCUUGCCGGUUUUUGGUGGGCAUCACAGGUGUGAUAACUAUCUACGCUUGUGGUUUUCCACCAGGGUAACCUUCAGCAGUGGAGGUUCACUGGAGCUUACAAAUGUCUCUCCUCUGUGAGGACAGCCCUUUGAAUGUUUGAUCUCAAAUCAGGUAGGACUACCCGCUGAACUUAAGCAUAUCAAUAAGCGGAGGA